UACGUAGGGGGCAAGCGUUGUCCGGAUUUAUUGGGCGUAAAGAGCGUGUAGGCGGUUUGGUAGGUCCGCUGUGAAAACUCGAGGCUCAACCUCGAGACGCCGGUGGAAACCAUCAGGCUAGAGUCCGGAAGAGGAGAGUGGAAUUCCUGGUGUAGCGGUGAAAUGCGCAGAUAUCGGGAAGAACACCCGUGGCGAAGGCGGCUCUCUGGGACGGUACUGACGCUGAGGUGCGAAAGCGUGGGGAGCAAACAGG
rnacentral:rRNA from 1 species